GCUCCAGUGCCAUGCUGGGGCUUUCCUACGGGGAGAGAGAGAGACAGACAGUCACACCAAGCUCCCAACAAUGCCAAGUCUUCCCUAGACCUGCACACCGACCUCCACCUCACCGAGCAGGUACUGUGGGAAACAACAAUUGGCUUUUUCCACAAUUGUUCUUUCCUGUCUGGGACCGCAGCUAAGAGAGCAAAUGGCCACAUGAGAUCCUGGCUGGACAAUAAAGUACACAGGAGAGUUCCUCCCA